UUGCUGUUUGGUUGGUUGGAUGAUAUUGUUAUUAACUUAUCAUAUUCUAUUUUCUAUUUCAGGUCAGAGUUCUUGUUUUUAAGGUUUUUUAAAUUAAAACCGACUACGAUUCAUUAUUUAAUGUGUUUCAAUUAGUUAGAAUAAAGUAAGAAGUAAUAAAAAUCGUCCAUGUUAACUUAGUAAGAAAGAAUAUAACAAAAGGUGUGCAUUGGUGUCUGUGUUGAUGAGGGUUUUCAACAUCUUCUGAGCUGUUGACAUAAGUGAAAUGGCUCCUUGUUUCACUUGUGAGCUGUGCAAUAAACAAUUUGGCUCAAAUUAUAAUCUGAAAAGACACUAUAAAAAUUUACAUCCGGGAUAUGAGACAAGUAGGCUUGUCAAAUCCUCUCUCUCUCUAACAUGUGGACUUUGCAGAAACACUCUUCGGAGUAGUGAUGAGUUUGAAAAUCAUCUAAAUACUCAUCAUGAAAUAGUUUUGAGUGUAAUUAAAGUUGAUUUCAACAACAUUAAUGAAUUUGAAAAAUGGAAAAACAGUGUAGAAGGGGAACAAAAUUGUCUAUUUGUGAAAAAUAGAGGAAACGGGAAAAAUAAUGAUGGUUCUACCUCUAUUUGGUACCACUGUAAUCGAUCGGGUAAUUUCAAAGGGCAAUCUUCACCGUCUAAAAGAAAAAGAUGCUUAAAAACCCAAGGGUCAUGUAAAAUUAAUGCCUACUGCCCAGCAAAGAUAUCAGCUAAAUUUGAAAGUAGUGGAAUAAUUAAGGUCAGAUUUUGUGAGACACAUGUUGGCCAUGAGGCAGAGUUAGCCCACAUUCCUUUGCCAUUGAGUGAUAGGAAGGAAUUAGCUUCAACAAUUGCUCAAAAAAUUCCCUUUGACACCAUUCUAGAAAAUGUUAGAGAGUCAGUUGGUGAUCAAAUAAAAAGAAAACAUCUAGGUAUUGACAAAGCAAGAUUUACGCAACAUUACAAAAGAGUACUCAUUAGACAAUGAGUGCAUUCUUCAUUCCGAAGAUUCAAAAAUAACAAAUGUAGAUUUAGAAAGUGUGAAAAAAGAAGUCAGUAAUAGGUUUUUACAUAUCAUUAACGGAAUUAGUUCCUUUGAGCAGCUUGAAAUAGUCAAUAAAACUCUUAAAUCGAUAGAACAACAGAUUGAUGAAGUUAAAGAAGAAGAAUUUACAAAAACUUUCUACAAGUGUUAAAUGUCUUGUCAGCUCUCAUUAACUCAUAAACUCUCAUUAAAACACUUCCCAUCACAUGAUAUGCCUAGACACUCUAUUAUUGAUGAUUCAAAAUUGGAGGAGGGAGUUGAAGUGUACAUAGGGCAGAGGAGAGAGGCUAUGGCACCAGAUACCGCACUGACACUAGCACACCCACUGUCAGCCAACCCCCCAUCACUUGACACAGUUGAACCAUAGGAGAACAAAUUAGGGUUUUCAAAUUUUGAUUAUUAAAUUCUUCUAUUAGUUGAUCGAAAGCAUUGUUGUAAAAUAUGUAAGUACUUGUUACGUCUUGGU